AGUGGCGGACGGCUGAGGAAUACAUCGGAAUCUACUUUUUCGUGGGGGAUAACGUAGGGAAACUUACGCUAAUACCGCAUACGACCUACGGGUGAAAGCAGGGGACCUUCGGGCCUUGCGCGAUUGAAUGAGCCGAUGUCGGAUUAGCUAGUUGGCGGGGUAAAGGCCCACCAAGGCGACGAUCCGUAGCUGGUCUGAGAGGAUGAUCAGCCACACUGGAACUGAGACACGGUCCAGACUCCUACGGGAGGCAGCAGUGGGGAAUAUUGGACAAUGGGCGCAAGCCUGAUCCAGCCAUACCGCGUGGGUGAAGAAGGCCUUCGGGUUGUAAAGCCCUUUUGUUGGGAAAGAAAUCCAGCUGGCUAAUACCCGGUUGGGAUGACGGUACCCAAAGAAUAAGCACCGGCUAACUUCGUGCCAGCAGCCGCGGUAAUACGAAGGGUGCAAGCGUUACUCGGAAUUACUGGGCGUAAAGCGUGCGUAGGUGGUUGUUUAAGUCUGUUGUGAAAGCCCUGGGCUCAACCUGGGAACUGCAGUGGAAACUGGACGACUAGAG
rnacentral:rRNA from 1 species